rnacentral:tRNA from 13 species
UGGGGCGUGGCCAAGGGGUAAGGCAACGGGUUUUGGUCCCGCUAUUCGGAGGUUCGAAUCCUUCCGUCCCAG